GACGAACGCUGGCGGCGUGCUUAACACAUGCAAGUCGAACGGAAAGGCCCUGCUUUUGUGGGGUGCUCGAGUGGCGAACGGGUGAGUAACACGUGAGUAACCUGCCCUUGACUUUGGGAUAACUUCAGGAAACUGGGGCUAAUACCGGAUAGGAGCUCCUGCUGCAUGGUGGGGGUUGGAAAGUUUCGGCGGUUGGGGAUGGACUCGCGGCUUAUCAGCUUGUUGGUGGGGUAGUGGCUUACCAAGGCUUUGACGGGUAGCCGGCCUGAGAGGGUGACCGGCCACCUUGGGAUUGAGGUACGGCCCAGAAUCCUACGGGAGGCAGCAGUGGGGAAUAUUGCACAAUGGGCGGAAGCCUGAUGCAGCAACGCCGCGUGCGGGAUGACGGCCUUCGGGUUGUAAACCGCUUUCGCCUGUGACGAAGCGUGAGUGACGGUAAUGGGUAAAGAAGCACCGGCUAACUACGUG
rnacentral:rRNA from 1 species